rnacentral:rRNA from 1 species
CGAACGCUGGCGGCGUGCUUAACACAUGCAAGUCGAACGCGAAAGAUUUUCUUCGGAGAAUCGAGUAGAGUGGCGCACGGGUGAGUAACGCGUAAGUAAUCUACCCAGGCAUCUGGAAUAACUCAGCGAAAGCUGUGCUAAUACCGGAUACGUUGGAGACAAGAAAGGUGGCCUCUGUUUCAUGCUACCGUGCUUGGAGGAGCUUGCGUACCAUUAGCUAGUUGGUAGGGUAAUGGCCUACCAAGGCAACGAUGGUUAGCGGGUCUGAGAGGAUGAUCCGCCACACUGGAACUGGAACACGGACCAGACUCCUACGGGAGGCAGCAGUGAGGAAUAUUGCGCAAUGGGGGCAACCCUGACGCAGCGACGCCGCGUGGAUGAUGAAGGCCUUCGGGUCGUAAAAUCCUGUCAGAUGGAAAGAAAUGCUAUAGGUUUAAUAUAUCUAUAGUUUGACGGUACCAUCAAAGGAAGCACCGGCUAACUCC